GUAUUUGUUUCUUUCUGCCCUCGCGAGCAUACUUGAUAAAAUGACAUUCUAAUGACAUACAUAUGGUGUGUAAAAUACAUAGGGUCCUCUUUCGAGUUCCCUACUAAGUGUGCACAGGGGUAAAGAUGGAUGAUCGGGAGAACGUGCACAUGCCCCAAAGGACCAGCACUGGACAUCCCUCACAAAAUCGUUAAUGAUCCUUCCGCAGGUUCACCUACGGAAA
rnacentral:misc_RNA from 1 species